rnacentral:rRNA from 1 species
UAGGGAAUCUUCGGCAAUGGGGGGAACCCUGACCGAGCAACGCCGCGUGAGUGCAGAAGGUUUUCGGAUCGUAAAGCUCUGUUGUUAAGGAAGAACGAGUGUGAGAAUGGAAAGUUCAUGCUGUGACGGUACUUAACCAGAAAGGGACGGCUAACUACGUGCCAGCAGCCGCGGUAAUACGUAGGUCCCGAGCGUUGUUCGGAUUUAUUGGGCGUAAAGCGAGCGCAGGCGGUUAGAUAAGUCUGAAGUUAAAGGCAGUGGCUCAACCAUUGUAGGCUUUGGAAAAUGUUUAACUUGAGUGCAGAAGGGGAGAGUGGAAUUCCAUGUGUAGCGGUGAAAUGCGUAGAUAUAUGGAGGAACACCGGUGGCGAAAGCGGCUCUCUGGUCUGUAACUGACGCAGAGGCUCGAAAGCGUGGGGAGCGAACAGG